rnacentral:rRNA from 1 species
AGAACGCUGAAGAGAGGAGCUUGCUCUUCUUGGAUGAGUUGCGAACGGGUGAGUAACGCGUAGGUAACCUGCCUUGUAGCGGGGGAUAACUAUUGGAAACGAUAGCUAAUACCGCAUAACAAUGGAUGACCCAUGUCAUUUAUUUGAAAGGGGCAAAUGCUCCACUACAAGAUGGACCUGCGUUGUAUUAGCUAGUAGGUGAGGUAACGGCUCACCUAGGCGACGAUACAUAGCCGACCUGAGAGGGUGAUCGGCCACACUGGGACUGAGACACGGCCCAGACUCCUACGGGAGGCAGCAGUAGGGAAUCUUCGGCAAUGGGGGCAACCCUGACCGAGCAACGCCGCGUGAGUGAAGAAGGUUUUCGGAUCGUAAAGCUCUGUUGUAAGUCAAGAACGAGUGUGAGAGUGGAAAGUUCACACUGUGACGGUAGCUUACCAGAAAGGGACGGCUAACUACGUGCCAGCAGCCGCGGUAAUACGUAGGUCCCGAGCGUUGUCCGGAUUUAUUGGGCGUAAAGCGAGCGCAGGCGGUUUGAUAAGUCUGAAGUUAAAGGCUGUGGCUCAACCAUAGUUCGCUUUGGAAACUGUCAAACUUGAGUGCAGAAGGGGAGAGUGGAAUUCCAUGUGUAGCGGUGAAAUGCGUAGAUAUAUGGAGGAACACCGGUGGCGAAAG